CGGGUGCACUGAUCCAGCCGGGCCUUUCCCUCUGUGGAACCCCAUGGCCUUCACUGGCUGUGGCGGGGAAACAGGACUUUUACUUUGAAAAAAUUAGAGUGCUCCAGGCAGGCCUAUGCUCGAAUACAUUAGCAUGGAAUAAUAGAAUAGGACGUGUGGUUCUAUUUUGUUGGUUUCUAGGACCGCCGUAAUGAUUAAUAGGGACAGUCGGGGGCAUCAGUAUUCAAUUGUCAGAGGUGAAAUUCUUGGAUCUAUUGAAGACUAACUACUGCGAAAGCAUUUGCCAAGGAUGUUUUCAUUGAUAAGGAACGAAAGUUAGGGGAUCGAAAACAAUCAGAUACCGUCGUAGUCUUAACUAUAAACUAUGCCCACUAGGGAUCGGACAAUGUUAUUCUUUGACGCGUUCGGCACCUUUCGAGAAAUCAAAGUGCUUGGGCUCCAGGGGGAGUAUGGUCGCAAGGGUGAAACUUAAAGAAAUUGACGGAAGGGCCCCCCCAGGGGUGGAACCUGCGGCUUAAUUUGACUCAACACGGGGAAACUCCCCAGGUCCAGACACAGUGAGGAUUGACAGAUUGAGAGCUCUUUCUUGAUUCUGUGGGUGGUGGUGCAUGGCCGUUCUUAGUUGGUGGAGUGAUUUGUCUGCUUAAUUGCGAUAACGAACGAGACCUUAACCUGCUAAAUAGCCCGUACUGCUUUGGCAGUUCGCCGGCUUCUUAGAGGGACGAUCGG
rnacentral:rRNA from 1 species